UAUAUCGGAACGUACCCAAGAGUGGGGGAUAACGUAGCGAAAGUUACGCUAAUACCGCAUACGAUCUAAGGAUGAAAGUGGGGGAUUCGCAAGAACCUCAUGCUCCUGGAGCGGCCGAUAUCUGAUUAGCUAGUUGGUGAGGUAAAGGCUCACCAAGGCGACGAUCAGUAGCUGGUCUGAGAGGACGACCAGCCACACUGGGACUGAGACACGGCCCAG
rnacentral:rRNA from 1 species